rnacentral:rRNA from 1 species
AUGGCAUGGGAGAAAAUUAUUCAGCCAAAGGCUAGGGGGGGAUUGGGUUUUCGUGAUUACAGAAUCUUUAAUCAAGCUUUACUAGCCCGGCAGGCGUGGCGGCUUCUCGUCAAUCCGGACAGCCUAUGUGCGAGAGUCUUAAAAGCUAAGUAUUAUCCUAACGGUCGUUUGGAAGACACCGUGUUUGCAGGGAACGCCUCAUCGUCAUGGCAAGCGAUCACGUACGGGCUUGAGCUGUUGAAGAAGGGUCUUGUGUGGCGGGUCGGCAAUGGCCAGAAUGUCAGAAUCUUGCGAGAUCCCUGGCUUCCUCGACCACCAUCAUACAGACCCGUCACCGUGCAAGGAAGAUGCAGAUUGCGACGUGUAGCUGACCUGCUCAGCGCGCAUGGAACCUGGGAUGUGGAUCUUCUCCGCCAAUACUUCGUGUCACCGGACGUUGAGGAAAUUCUUCGCAUCAGGCCAGCACCAAGCCUUGAUGAUGUGCUACCAUGGGCACCGGAUCCCAAAGGCGUCUUCUCUGUACGGAGCGCAUAUAAGAUCGCCCUCGACGACAAAUCCCGCACAUCUACGUGCGCCAUGAGCAGGGCACCGGACGGCAAUCGCGCCGUCUGGACGGCAUUGUGGGGGUGCCCUGCUCCCCCAAAGGUACGGGUUUUCGGCUGGCGUUUGGCGACUGAUUCCUUGGCCACUAUGCAAUAUAAAUUUAAGAGGCACAUUGAAAGAUCUGACAUAUGUACCAUUUGUGGUGUUGAACCGGAGGACAACUUCCAUGUUGUCUGCAGAUGCCCGAUGGCGCCAGCAUUGUGGGAGGCCAUGCGCGAGUCAUGGCCACUGCCAGACCUGAACAGCCUCAACAACUCGGGCCCUGACUGGCUGCUGCAGCUACUUGACAAGAGCACGGAGAUAGAACGCCUCGUCAUCCUGAUGACCUUUUGGCGGGCAUGGCACUGUUGA